rnacentral:rRNA from 1 species
GAUGAACGCUAGCGGCAGGCCUAACACAUGCAAGUCGAGGGGCAGCACGUCUUCGGAUGGUGGCGACCGGCGCACGGGUGCGUAACGCGUAUGCAACCUACCUCUUACAGUGGGAUAGCCCAGAGAAAUUUGGAUUAAUACCGCAUAGUAUACAGAUUCAGCAUUGGGGCUGUAUUAAACAUUUAUGGGUAAGAGAUGGGCAUGCGUUCUAUUAGUUAGUUGGAGUGGUAACGGCACCCCAAGACAGCGAUAGAUAGGGGCCCUGAGAGGGGGAUCCCCCGACACUGGUACUGAGACACGGACCAGACUCCUACGGGAGGCAGCAGUGAGGAUAUUGGACAAUGGGCAGAGCCUGAUCCAGCCAUGCCGCGUGCAGGAAGACGGCCCUAUGGGUUGUAAACUGCUUUUGUACGGGAAGAACACCCCCUCGUGAGGGGGCUUGACGGUACCGUAAGAAUAAGGAUCGGCUAACUCCGUGCCAGCAGCCG